GGAAUAAAACACUGGAGAAGAGAGAGAGUGAGCUGUUUGAGCAAAGAAAAAGACAGGAGAGGAGACUAAGAGCUAUAUAAAAAACAUUUGUACUGGUUAUUAGAAUUGAAGAGGAGAACGAGCAGAGAGAGAAUAGAAAGCUCGAAGAGCAGAAAAAAGAGAGAGGCGGAGAGGAGAAAAGAGGUGAGGCCAACAAUGUCAAGAAGAGACCCAAAAAAAAGUAUCUGAAUGAAUGGGUGGCGGGAAAAGAGGACAAGAGAGAGCUGAAUAACACCGCUGUGGGAAUUGAUGAUAACCUCUGCCAAUUGAUAAAGAUUGUUCAAUUUCUUCCCUUCGCCACUUCUAACAAGCACGGUGCAAAGACUUUUCCAUCUAAGCAGCAGGGGGAAAAGCCCAGCUCUGACCACUCGUGCCGCAACAACGGUAAAGAAGGG